AAAAAAAAAAAAAUUUAUAAGGAAUAGCCUCGUGAAACUGAGAGUAAUAACGGAUACGACCUUUGGGGGAAAGAUUUAUCGGAAAAGGAUCGGCCCGCGUUGGAUGAGGUAGUUGGUGGGGUAAUGGCCUACCAAGCCGACGAUACAUAGCUGGGUUGAGAGGAUGAUCAGCAACACUGGGCUGGAGACACGGACCAGACUAUUACGGCAUUAAGCAGUGGGGAAGAUGAUCAAAGGCGGGCAACUCUGAUUUAUUCUUUUUUUUUG
rnacentral:rRNA from 1 species